AUUGAACGCUGGCGGCAGGCCUAACACAUGCAAGUCGAGCGGAUGAAGGGAGCUUGCUCCUGGAUUCAACGGCGGACGGGUGAGUAAUGCCUAGGAAUCUGCCUGGUAGUGGGGGAUAACGUCCGGAAACGGGCGCUAAUACCGCAUACGUCCUGAGGGAGAAAGUGGGGGAUCUUCGGACCUCACGCUAUCAGAUGAGCCUAGGUCGGAUUAGCUAGUUGGUGGGGUAAAGGCCUACCAAGGCGACGAUCCGUAACUGGUCUGAGAGGAUGAUCAGUCACACUGGAACUGAGACACGGUCCAGACUCCUACGGGAGGCAGCAGUGGGGAAUAUUGGACAAUGGGCGAAAGCCCGAUCCAGCCAUGCCGCGUGUGUGAAGAAGGUCUUCGGAUUGUAAAGCACUUUAAGUUGGGAGGAAGGGCAGUAAGUUAAUACCUUGCUGUUUUGACGUUACCAACAGAAUAAGCACCGGCUAACUUCGUG
rnacentral:rRNA from 1 species